UACGGGGGGGGCAAGCGUUGUUCGGAAUUACUGGGCGUAAAGGGUUCGUAGGUGGCUUGCUAAGUCAGACGUGAAAUCCCUCAGCUUAACUGGGGAACUGCGUCUGAUACUGGCGAGCUUGAAUCCGGGAGAGGGAUGCGGAAUUCCAGGUGUAGCGGUGAAAUGCGUAGAUAUCUGGAGGAACACCGGUGGCGAAGGCGGCAUCCUGGACCGGCAUUGACGCUGAGGCGCGAAAGCCAGGGGAGCAAACGGG
rnacentral:rRNA from 1 species